rnacentral:rRNA from 1 species
UACGGAGGGGGCAAGCGUUAUUCGGAAUUAUUGGGCGUAAAGGGCGCGUAGGCGGCUAGAUGUGUCAAAGGUGAAAUCCCUCGGCUCAACUGAGGAACUGCCUUUGAAACUGUCUGGCUUGAGGCCGGGAGAGGGUAGCGGAAUUCCGAGUGUAGCGGUGAAAUGCGUAGAUAUUGGGAGGAACACCAGUGGCGAAGGCGGCUACCUGGACCGGUUCUGACGCUGAGGCGCGAAAGCGUGGGUAGCAAACAGG